rnacentral:rRNA from 1 species
AGUGAACGCUGGCGGCAGGCCUAACACAUGCAAGUCGAACGGCAACACAGUAAGAGCUUGCUCUUACGGGUGGCGAGUGGCGGACGGGGGAGGUAUACAUCGGAAUCUACUUUUUCGUGGGGGAUAACGUAGGGAAACUUACGCUAAUACCGCAUACGACCUACGGGUGAAAGCAGGGGAUCUUCGGACCUUGCGCGAUUGAAUGAGCCGAUGUCGGAUUAGCUAGUUGGCGGGGUAAAGGCCCACCGAGGCGACGAUCGGUAGCUGGUCUGAGAGGAGGAAGCGCCACACUGGAAGUGAGAGGCGGUCCAGAGUCCUAGGGGAGGCAGCGGUGGGGAAGAGUGGACGAUGGGGGCAAGACUGAUCCAGCCGUACCGCGUGGGUGAAGAAGGCCUGCGGGUUGGAAGGCCGUUUUGUGGGGGAAGAAAGGCAGCAGGUUAAUACACCGCUGUUCUGACGGUACCCGAAGAAGAAGCACCGGCUAACUUCGUG